rnacentral:tRNA from 2 species
UGGGGAGUGGCCAAGCGGUAAGGCAGCGGACUCUGGAUCCGCCAAUCGGGGGUUCGAAUCCCUCCUCCCCAG